AUUCCUCUCCAGAACUUGGAAGGGGAAAAUUGCGAGCAUCCUGUUCGAGGGUUUCUGGUCUGCGCGUUUCAGCGGUUAAUCUCUCAGUAUUUGUAAACUGUAGAACUUGGAAAUCUCUUAGCCGUGGAAAUGGUUUCGUGUGGGUUGGGGUGUGUGAACCAUACUAAUCAGGCCGCCAUAUAAGCAAUGUUUUUCAGCAGGCUUUCUACUCCGAAUCAGCAGCUUAUGCAAGACACUGACCGAACCAAAGCAAAUGUUAUGGUGUUUAACAGUACUUAAUUCCUAAAGCUUUGGAUGGGUGGCAAUGUAGUUGUUUGUCGCUUAAUUUACAACAAUGUGUUUAUUCCGUGUAGUUUUGGAAAUGGUGUUUAUUACAUCUAUUGUAGUGAAACUUACCCAAAUGAGAAAGGGUGCUGGGGGAAUUUGGCAUUAGAAAUCAAGCCUGUCUAAGUAUUUUAUAUAUGCACAUUCUUUU